rnacentral:rRNA from 1 species
AACGAACGCUGGCGGCAUGCCUAACACAUGCAAGUCGAACGAUUGCCUUCGGGUGAUAGUGGCGCACGGGUGCGUAACGCGGGGGAAUCUGCCCUUAGGUUCGGAAUAACAGCUGGAAACGGCUGCUAAUACCGGAUGAUAUCGCGAGAUCAAAGAUUUAUCGCCUGAGGAUGAGCCCGCGUUGGAUUAGGUAGAUGGUGGGGUAAAGGCCUACCAAGCCGACGAUCCAUAGCUGGUCUGAGAGGAUGAUCAGCCACACUGGGACUGAGACACGGCCCAGACUCCUACGGGAGGCAGCAGUGGGGAAUAUUGGACAAUGGGCGCAAGCCUGAUCCAGCAAUGCCGCGUGAGUGAUGAAGGCCCUAGGGUUGUAAAGCUCUUUUACCCGGGAAGAUAAUGACUGUACCGGGAGAAUAAGCCCCGGCUAACUCCGUG